ensembl:lncRNA
CCAAGACAACCAGGUGAGGGGAGUUCCUAACUAAUCAAUGAAGACAACCAGGUGAGGGGAGUUCCUAACUAAUCAAUGAAGACAACCAGGUGAGGGGAGUUCCUAACUAGCCAAUGAAGACAACCAGGUGAGGGGAGUUCCUAACUAGCCAAUGAAGACAACCAGGUGAGGGGAGUUCCUAACUAAUCAAUGAAGACAACCAGGUGAGGGGAGUUCCUAACUAGCCAAUGAAGACAACCAGGUGAGGGGAGUUCCUAACUAAUCAAUGAAGACAACCAGGUGAGGGGAGUUCCUAACUAGCCAAUGAAGACAAACAGGUGAGGGGAGUUCCUACCUAGCCAAUGAAGACAACCAGAUGAGGGGAGUUCCUAACUAGC